rnacentral:lncRNA from 1 species
UAGCCAGUAACCUAAUAGGUGACUUCUUAAUGCCGGCUAUUGCUAGAUUCCUUCACUGCUGUUGGAAAAUGGAGCUUCAUAUUCUAUCUGAAAUUUUUUAGGUCUCAUGUUUAAUGUUUCUACAUAUCUGCCAUCCUUUUUUUGCAUGGCAUAUCUGCCAUCCUUGUGUACUUGCAUUUGCUUACUGGUUAAAGGCAUUAUACAUUUAUACUAUUUUAUCUAUCUUUUUUUGUAGGGAUUACAUGAUCUACAAGCCAAAGACUCUGAAAUACACAAACAUGAUGAUGAUUAUGAUAGAGGUAGUACAGUGGCAAGCACCAAUCAGUGUGCGGCAAAAACAUAAAGCCGAGAAGCAACACCUGCUGAUGUUCUUUCUUAUGGGAUCAGCAAAUAACCUGCAAUGAAGGAUUCUAAGGAUAAUUUGCUUGCUAUGGUUGCCACUAAAAAUCCUCAUUGUAAUUAUCUUUCGGCUUAUAAUUAUGUCUGUCAUUUCUAAAGUCAUGUUGUGACUGCAAUGAAGGUCUCCUAUAAAUGUCAGUUGUCGUUUCUAAUUCAUGUUAUGCCUAUUCAUGCCUUGUUAAGCCGAGAUCAAGUAUCGUCGGUCAUUUCUAAAGAUCAGGAGCCAACUAGCCACCCUAAUCUAAGCAUUGGAUAUUGGUAAGUUUGAAGAAGCCCAACAUGCAUAGCCAAGCUUAAAUUAAGAACCCAACUAGCCGCCUUGAUGUGUGUAGACAAGAUUAGUGCGCACAAUCUCGCCUCAAGAGGUGCGCCUGGGGCGGACCCCAACCAGUAGUACAUGAUCUAUCAGGAUGAAAUAGAAGAAAUCCUAGGCAACACAAG